rnacentral:rRNA from 1 species
AUGUCGACCGACACCGCCCGUGCCGCUGCUGAGAAAGCCGAGGCCGACAAGAAGGCCGCCGAGGAUGCCGCGGCUGCUGUCACCGCCACCGCCACCGCGUGGCCGAUUGGAGGGUAUACAUCGCUUAUCCCUCUCGUGUUUCUUUCUGUUGUAGCAGUACUAGCGGUAUGCGUAGAUGUCUCUACUAUAUGCGUAGUACAUGCUCUGUUAGAUCAUAAUCAGUAUGUUAUCAAUGCUGUCCAUGUCAUGCUCAUGAUUUAUUCAUGGAUUAAUUUAAUCGGAAAACUGCCUAUUUUCUCAUCAAUACAUUGCUGA